UUCCAACAAGAACCGCUACCGUUUUUCGCUGAUUUUGAAAGGAAACCCGCUCUGAGCAAUUUUGCACUCAGCAUCAAGUUACACUGAAGUCAACCUUCACCCAUCUAUGUAAAAUGUUUUACAUUGUAGAAUUUUAUAAAACCCACGAGGUUGAGGUGGUGCCAGCAGCAUGGGUGGCUGAUGACAUUUGUCAGUGGCCCUCUUAUUACAAGCGUGACGAACUUGUAAAGGCC